UACGAAGGGGGCUAGCGUUGUUCGGAAUUACUGGGCGUAAAGCGUGCGCAGGCGGCCAUCCAAGUCAGUGGUGAAAGCCCGGAGCUCAACUCCGGAACUGCCAUUGAAACUGUUUGGCUCGAGUACGAGAGAGGUGAGUGGAAUUCCCAGUGUAGAGGUGAAAUUCGUAGAUAUUCGCAAGAACACCAGUGGCGAAGGCGGCUCACUGGUCCGGUACUGACGCUGAGGUGCGAAAGCGUGGGGAGCAAACAGG
rnacentral:rRNA from 1 species